rnacentral:lncRNA from 1 species
UGACUUGCCGGAGAGUGGUGGGGCACGUGGAGUUUGUUAUAGAGAGUGGAGUGGUGUCCGUUGUCGCGACUUGCCAGGGAGUUCGAGUUGGAUGGCUGAAGCUCGGUUGGGACGUCUGGUGGAGCAGAAUAGCUCUCUGUCUCAGCAAUCUAAGAGAAGCUCGGAUGUUUUCGAGGUUGCUGGUAGGUUAACUAUUGUUGGGUGCCUUAGGCAUUGAUGCUGC